GUCUGCCAGCAAAUAUGAAACAAUGCGGCAUCAGUCCCUGGGGCUUUUUUGAUGGAAUAAUUUGUUUUGAACUAAAUGUUUUUAUUGGCUUGGAUCAUCUGGACCUUUGACGAGUAACAAGAGCGUUUUUGUUGGAAUAUAAUCGAUCGGUGGAUUACUAUGAGGCUUCAUAGUCUCGUGAUGAAUAGUGAAUUGAUUCCCAUUCUGCGGGAAUCCUACAGGAAUCCCAAAACCCACAGGAUUCCCGAAAAAAUGAGGCAUACUGGAGGAUUUGGCCUUACUACUGUCAGACACACUGUAAUUUGAACUCUGCUCCCAUCAGUGGAGGAGAUGGUGCUGGUUGAACCUUGACGGUGAGAAGUUGUGGAUAGAGCUCCAGCAAUAACAGAGGAAUGGUUUUGUGGCCUGUAAA